CCAUGCAGCAUGACAAGUCAGUGUAGGUUAAAGGGUGGCAAUGUGGUAUGUAACUGUACUGGGUCGGGAUAUACAGGAUCAACAUGCACCACUGAUAUAGACGAAUGUGCAACUGGCGCGGACAAUUGUGAUGAUAACGCCCAAUGUACAAACACAAAUGCACGUGCGCCUGUAACGCAGGAUACUCUGGUAAUGGCGUUUCGUGCGUAGAUAUCAACGAAUGUACAACUAAUACGGACAAUUGUGAUGAGAACGCCGAAUGUACAAACACCGAUGGAGGCUUCACGUGCGCCUGUAAC